CCUUUGAGUAAGUGAAAUGAAGCGUGAAUAACUGCCUAAUUAGUGGACAUGAAAACUGGACAGUCUCCAAAGUCAUCAGAGAUGACCACGCUUGCCAGGCAACUUACUAGACUAAGACUACUGCUGGGGCAGGCGGUGGGAACAGAUGUAGAGAGGGCACACAAUGAGCCUCACGUAAGCAUCAGGUACUACAUUUAGGAAGAGAGAUGGUUCAGUGAGUGCAGACUAUGCAGGAGAAGUGACACAGAAGCCUGAUGGAGGUGAUGAUACCCAGUGGCCAUGGGACUUUGUCAGCAAAGGCAGUGAUAAACAGCAUGAGAGUGAGGAUGCAGUGGCCAGAAGAGGCAGCCCAGGGAAGAUCUGAGGUGAACCCUCUGGUUGGAAAGCCUUGGCAAAUUGGAGGAAUGAAAAGAAAAAAGGUGACGUGCCCAUCAUGCAGGAAGCUUCUCCAAGGCUGGCGAGAGCAACUUGUCUGCUUUGAGAAAUGCAGAUCUAUCAGGAUCCAGAAUCGGACUCUGAAAAAGCUGUCAUUUCAUGUCUCUAAAACAGCCUUUGAUUUAAUGUACAAGAUGUCAAGAAGUAAAGGACAAUAAAAUAAAAACCAAAAAAGGAGAACUAUUUCAAUUAAGAAGCAUUCCUAUAUCAAUUCUUGGAAAUCACAUAAAAUAAAAGCUGUCAGAAUCA
rnacentral:lncRNA from 1 species